rnacentral:rRNA from 1 species
CCUCAAAUCAGGUAGGACUACCCGCUGAACUUAAGCAUAUCAAUAAGCGGAGGAAAAGAAACUAACAAGGAUUCCCCUAGUAACUGCGAGUGAAGCGGGAAAAGCUCAAAUUUAAAAUCUGGUAGUCUUCGACUAUCCGAGUUGUAAUCUAGAGAAGCGUCAUCCGUGCUGGACCGUGUACAAGUCUCCUGGAAUGGAGCGUCACAGAGGGUGAGAAUCCCGUCUUUGACACGGACUGCCAGGACAUUGUGAUGCGCUCUCAACGAGUCGAGUUGUUUGGGAAUGCAGCUCUAAAUGGGUGGUAAAUUCCAUCUAAAGCUAAAUAUUGGCGAAAGACCGAUAGCGAACAAGUACCGUGAGGGAAAGAUGAAAAGAACUUUGGAAAGAGAGUUAAACAGUACGUGAAAUUGUUGAAAGGGAAACGCUUGAAGUCAGUCGCAUUGGCCAGGGAUCAGCCUUGCUUUUUUUGCUUGGCGCACUUCUUGGCUAAUGGGUCAGCAUCAAUUUCGACCAAUGGAAAAAGAUCAAGGGAAUGUGGCAUCUUCGGAUGUGUUAUAGCCUCUGGUCACAUACAUUGGUUGGGAUUGAGGAAAUCAGUACGCCGCAAGGCCGGGUUUUUUAACCACGUUCGUGCUUAGGAUGCUGGCAUAAU